GGGGUUGUAGCUCAGUGGUAGAGCGCUUGCCUGGCACGUGAGAGGCCCUGGGGUUGGAUCCUCAGCACCA
rfam:Ictidomys tridecemlineatus contig005743, whole genome shotgun sequence.